rnacentral:rRNA from 1 species
AUGCCCAACAGCUAGCCCACCUAAACAAUUUCAACAAACCCUUGUUAAUAACCCCUAAAUACCCUAGUAUUUAAAUUAAACAAACCAUUUUUCCCCCUUAGUAUAGGCGAUAGAAAAGGGACUACGGCGCAAUAGAGAAAGUACCGCAAGGGAACGCUGAAAGAGAAAUGAAAUAACCCAGUAAAGCCCAAAAAAGCAGAGAUUUAACCUCGUACCUUUUGCAUCAUGAUUUAGCGAGUGUACCCCAAGCAAAGAGCACUUUAGUUUGACGUCCCGAAACUACGUGAGCUACUCCAAGACAGCCUAUUAAUAGGGCACACCCGUCUCUGUUGCAAAAGAGUGGGGAGAGCUUUGAGUAGAGGUGACAAACCUACCGAACC